rnacentral:rRNA from 1 species
CUCCUACGGGAGGCAGCAGUGGGGAAUCUUCCGCAAUGGACGAAAGUCUGACGGAGCAACGCCGCGUGAGUGAAGACGGCCUUCGGGUUGUAAAGCUCUGUGAUCCGGGACGAAAGAGCCUUGGGUAAAUAGCCUAAGGAAGUGACGGUACCGGAAAAGCAAGCCACGGCUAACUACGUGCCAGCAGCCGCGGUAAUACGUAGGUGGCAAGCGUUGUCCGGAAUUAUUGGGCGUAAAGCGCGCGCAGGCGGCUUCCUAAGUCCAUCUUAAAAGUGCGGGGCUUAACCCCGUGAUGGGAUGGAAACUGGGAAGCUGGAGUAUCGGAGAGGAAAGUGGAAUUCCUAGUGUAGCGGUGAAAUGCGUAGAGAUUAGGAAGAACACCGGUGGCGAAGGCGACUUUCUGGACGAAAACUGACGCUGAGGCGCGAAAGCGUGGGGAGCAAACAGGAUUAGAUACCCUGGUAGUCCACGCCGUAAACGAUGGAUACUAGGUGUAGGAGGUAUCGACCCCUUCUGUGCC